rnacentral:rRNA from 1 species
GGCGCACGGGUGCGUAACGCGUAUGCAAUCUACCUUUUGCAGAGGGAUAGCCCAGAGAAAUUUGGAUUAAUACCUCAUAGUAUAGCACUAUCGCAUGAUAGAGCUAUUAAAGUCACAACGGCAAAAGAUGAGCAUGCGUCCCAUUAGCUAGUUGGUAAGGUAACGGCUUACCAAGGCAACGAUGGGUAGGGGUCCUGAGAGGGAGAUCCCCCACACUGGUACUGAGACACGGACCAGACUCCUACGGGAGGCAGCAGUGAGGAAUAUUGGACAAUGGGCGCAAGCCUGAUCCAGCCAUGCCGCGUGCAGGAUGACGGUCCUAUGGAUUGUAAACUGCUUUUGCACAGGAAGAAACACUCCCUCGUGAGGGAGCUUGACGGUACUGUGAGAAUAAGGAUCGGCUAACUCCGUGCCAGCAGCCGCGGUAAUACGGAGGAUCCAAGCGCUAUCCGGAAUCAUUGGGUUUAAAGGGUCCGUAGGCGGUUUAGUAAGUCAGUGGUGAAAGCCCAUCGCUCAACGGUGGAACGGCCAUUGAUACUGCUAGACUUGAAUUAUAAGGAAGUAACUAGAAUAUGUAGUGUAGCGGUGAAAUGCUUAGAGAUUACAUGGAAUACCAAUUGCGAAGGCAGGUUACUACUUAUGGAUUGACGCUGAUGGACGAAAGCGUGGGUAGCGAACAGGAUUAGAUACCCUGGUAGUCCACGCCGUAAACGAUGGAUACUAGCU